AAAAAUGUACUGUACGCACAACUGCAUGAAAGUUUUACACACAACUGCAGCGGUUAGAUGAUAUGAGAAUAUAUUGAGAGGACAGCUAGCUAGCGACAGGGGUUAUGCAUUGGUGAUAGAGAUGGGUGUCGAGGAAUUGGUCUCCCAAUGCAAAGAAUUCGUCAGUCACGUCCUAAUCCCCCCGACCGGAAAAGAGGGGAAAAUUCAAGUCAAUAGAGGACUCGGAGGAAAGUAAAAUGCAUUGAGCCAUUGACGGUCGCAGACUUUUCUGGUUGUGUGGGUCGCUGUUGUCCUCUCAACCUUAUUUAAUAAGGGAUUUCUUGAGGGAUUUGUAGGAACAAAUUAAAAAAAAUAUAAGAGGCGGGGUUUCGCUCAUCUCUACAUGACUCUCUGUCUACCACUCACAAUGCAAUGAAGAAGCGGUGAUCCAAUCAAGCUGCAAUAAUGAAGUUAGUGCUCCUCAAUGCGUUUGGUGUGGUGUUCCGGGCUAGAAAAAGAGACAAGAUGGAGUCACGGUGUGUCAGAAAGACAACAGAGGACGACGGCGCCGAUCGAGCUCGACACCAUCGUCGUCGUUUUUCAAAUCGGAUGGCAUGGCGAGAGUGAGAGAGAUGGAAGCACAGGUAGUCAGGUAGAUGAAGCUAGUAGCUAGCUAGGCUUGCUUAUUACCUUGGUCGUUUGCAGUUGGGAGGAGACGAUCUCGGCCGGACUUGAGUCGAGAUAAGAGAGGAGAGUACUGAACCGGAGUGGGAGAGGCGAACUGUUGUGGAUCUCUGCCGGCGCGGUGAUGGCCGGAGAAUUAAGAUGCAUUCUGUAUAUAUCAGUCCCAAGUCAAGGAGCUAGAUAGACUCCUGAUCGACAAAUCGCGUCGCUCGGCUAUGGCUGACUUCAC
rnacentral:lncRNA from 1 species